rnacentral:rRNA from 1 species
UACGAAGGGUGCAAGCGUUACUCGGAAUUACUGGGCGUAAAGCGUGCGUAGGUGGUGAGUUAAGUCUGUCGUGAAAGCCCCGGGCUCAACCUGGGAAUGGCGAUGGAUACUGGCUCGCUAGAGUGCGGUAGAGGAGAGUGGAAUUCCUGGUGUAGCGGUGAAAUGCGCAGAUAUCAGGAGGAACACCAAUGGCGAAGGCAGCUCGCUGGAACGGUACUGACGCUGAGGCGCGAAAGCGUGGGGAGCAAACAGG